GAGCCCAUAGCUCAGUUGGCUAGAGCGUUACAUUGACAUUGUAAAGGUCGGUGGUUCAAGUCCACCUGGGCUCACAA
rnacentral:tRNA from 5 species